rnacentral:tRNA from 1 species
GAGGGUAGAGCUCAGUGGUAGAGUGUGUGCUUAGCAUGCACGAGGUCCUGGGUUCAAUCCCCAGUGCCUCCA